rnacentral:lncRNA from 1 species
UUUUUAAAAACAUAAAUAUAAAUUUUAAUUAAAAUAAUAUAAUAAAUUACGUUGUUAAAUUAGAAAUGCAGUCAUUAGCACUCAUUCGAUAAUCGAAGAGAAAGGCACUGGCCUGGGAAGAAAGCUUAUGAUGGUGGGCCCCCGAAGAAAUGAAAAGGGCUGGCGCGAAACUAAUCAGAGCUAGAAGAAAGACACCAUGGGGAGCUACACCCGCGCUUAGGAGAAGAAUCCUGUCUGACUGACCCUACCAUGAUUGAAUGACUGAGCUAUGCCAUGGAGGAAGUCUUUCUUUGAGCAUGCCGUGGAUAGGCUGCAAAGACGACGUUUUGAAAGCAAGAAACAUUAUUUUUAUUAGUUUUUUAAUAAUCUUUUAUAGUAAAAAUAUAAAAUUUAUAAUUUAUUUAAUAUUAUUUUUUUAUAUCUUGUGAUUUAAAGAUUACGUUUUUAAUAUAAAAAAGUAAUUAAAAUAAUUUUUAAAAUAUAAAUUUUUUAUUUGUUAUCUAUUACAUUUUGAAUAAAAAUAUAAUUUUUGAUAAAUUCUCAAUUAUGUUUUUAAAUUAAUAAAUAUAUAUUUUUGACAUUUUUAAGUAUUAUAAAUAUAUUUUUUAAUUAUAUCAAUUAUUAAAUUUCUCAAAUCCUAAACAUGGUUGAUAUAAAAAUAUUUAUUUUAUUUUAUUUUAAUUGAGAUUAAAUGUGAGAAAAUUUUAAAUUUUCUCCUAAAAUUUUAAAAAAUUAUAAAGAGAGGUGAAAAUUUGAUUUUGAAAUAUAUGGAUACUGUCAAGAAUUUAAAAUUACUUUUAAAAAUGAGAUUUUCGUAAAUCAAACAUGAAAAAGAUAUUCCCACAAAUAAAAUUAAAAAAAAAAUUUUAAAAUUUUUCGAACCAAACAUCUUAAUGUUGAGUAGAUACCACUAAUUUCCAUAUAGCAAAAAAAAUGAAUCCUUUUGUUUUUUUUUUUUUAAUUUUGAAAAUUUUUAAAUUCAUCAAUUUUAUAAAUCAUUUAUUAAAAAAUUAACAAAGUAAGUUACACCAACAUGAAUGCCUAUAUGAAGUUAAAUUAUAAUCUAAAUCUUUUUGUUUUUUAGAUUAGAAAUUUAUGUCAUGUAAGCAUUCUAUAACGUUUACAUAAUUUAUUUUGUUAAAUUUUUAAUAAAUGAUCGAUAAAAUUAAUGAAUUUAAAAUAUAUUUUUUGAAAGUUGUAAACAAAAAAAUAAUUUUAAAAAUUAUGAAUGAAAGUAAUAUAUUACUCAAAACUCAUAUAAUUUAAGUUAUAAUCACUCAAUAAUCAUAUAUUAUAUAUUAUUAUAUUACAAUAUAUAUAAACUUUGCUAGAUAAGCAUUUAUGUGGAUAAUUUUUUUAAAUAACAUGUGAGAUAGUAGUUUUAAAAGAGUAUUCAUUGAAUUUAUUCAAAUAUCAAAAUUACUUAAAUUAUAAUUGUAAAUUAAAUUAAUUUAGAGAUAUAUUUUUUAAAGUAAAAAUAUCAAAAUAUGAAAUAUUUUUUGAAUAAUUUUAAGUUUUUACUAAAUAACUUUAUUUUAUAAUUAUUUAAUUAUGAAAAAAGUUUCAACAUGUUUUAAAAUUAUAAAUAUUAAGUUUAUCAAAAUCUUUCAAAAAUUCACUAUAUUCUUUUAUCUUAAUUUGUAUCAAACAAAAUUAUAUGUUCAAAAAUUAUGUAAAUAUUGAAAACUCAAAUAGUUUUUUAUAUUAAAUUUAUAAAUAAUAAAAACUAUAUCCAUCUUAACACUAACUAUUAAUUUUAUACUUAAAAAAUAGGUAAAAAGGUUUUUUUUUUAUUUUUAUUUUUACCCCUUUUUAUAUAACUUUAAAAUUAUUUAUUCAAUCCUAAAUGUCAUCUAAGAGUUAUUAUACAAAUUAAAAACUAUGAAUAUGAUGUGUUACAUUAUUUUUUGUUUUGGAUUUGUAACGUUUUGAAAUUCUAUUGUUAUUAUAAUUUAUUUAUUCAAUUUGCAUAUUUCUUUUUUAAAAGUGUAUUCUAUUACUAGUGCGAACUUGUUUUUAUGAAAAACAAUAUUUUUUCAAUUUAUUUUUUUUCACACAUCUCCUUAUAUUUUUUCAUAUUUUGUACAAUAAUUUGAAUAAUAUUACAAAAGUGAAAGAAUGACUAUACUUUUUUUAUUAUUUAAUUAAUUAUUUGAUAAUAUAUGUUUUCAUUCUUUUAAGAAAGAUAUAUAAUUUAUUUUUAUUUGAUAUAAGACUUAAAGUUAGAAAUAUUAUUACAAAUAAAGAUGGUGCAAAAUGAAAACAUGCUUUUUAAAAGAUUUUUUUGACAAGUUAGUCAAAAAUAAAAUUUUUAUAUGUUAUAAAUUUAAAAAAUUUAAAUAUAAUUUUAAAUAAUUACUAACAUAUAUAUAUGAAAUAAAUAAAAUUAUUUCGUGCAUUGCACAUGCAUCACGAUAACGACAAUCCAAAAACCUAAUACAUUAGAAAAAAAUUAAAUAACCAAACGCAUACAAUUAAAACUUGAAUCUAUAACUUUAAGAUUUUAAGUUUUUUUUAUUGCCUAAUAAAAUAAUAUCUUAUUGACUUAUAUAUAACUAUUGAAUUAGUAUAUAAAAGAAAAUAAUUUUGUUUUAUCUCUUUAAAUUCUUAUAUAAGAUUUAUAGUUAAAAAUCCAAAAUUCCUGAUGCUAAAUUAAUAUUUGAUUGAUUUAUAUUUUACUCUUGAAUUAAUAUAAGAGAAAAUAAUUUUCUUAUAUUAGUUAAAAAUCCAAAUCAUUCACUCAAAAAGAAUUAAUUUUAUAAAAAAUUUUUUAUGUGUAAAUAUCUAAAAUUGAUUAAAAAUCUCAAUCUAACCAUUGUUAUCUAUUUAAUUCAUUUAUAUAUAUUAUCCAUAAAUUGAAAUUCUUAAACUAUUACUGGAAAUUGGCAAAAAAAACUCUUAUUUGAAAGCAUGGGCUUUGAGUUUUGGGCUGUGUCACCUUUCCGCAGACUGAACGCAUAUUCUAUAAUGACCAAAAAAAGCACAGAUCCCAAAAUACUCUCCACUUCUACAAGAUGAUUCAAGGAAAUUGACAAAGAUGAUUAAAAUCUCAUCAACAUUUCUAUUUAAUUCAUUUAUAUAUAUUAUCCAUAAAUUGAAAUUCUUAAACUAAUGCUGGAAAUUGGCAAAAAAAAAUCUUAUUUGAAACCAUGGGCUUUGAGUUUUGGGCUGUAACCUUUCCGCAGACUGAACAGAUCUUGUAUAAUGACCAAAAAAAAGCACAGAUCCCAAAAUACCCUCCACCUUUGCAAGAUGAUUCAAGCAAAUUGACAAAGAUGAUUGAGACGAGGUCAAAGUCGGUUCACCACCAAGGUUAAAAUAGACAAUUAAUCAUCCCUACAAAACCGCCAUAACCCAAAUAAAUCACUUAUUUUUCACACAUUUUCCCUGAGAAACUAAAAACAAGUAUAAAUCAAAACUGUCAAUCCAAACACGCCGUAGGGUUUUCUUCUCUUUCUGACUCACUUUUCUCUCUUUCAGCACAGAAUGAAAGAAAAACCCUAGCCUUAAACCUUUAGUUUACAUUAUUUAUCAUAUAAAAGCUUUACUUUUUAUUUGAUUUCUUCACUUUUAAGGUAAGCUCUCAAUACCCAUAUCUCAAAAUCCCUUUUUUCUUUUUCUGAUAUAUUCCAAGAUCUCUUCAAAAACCUGAAAUAAAAUCAAAUAAAGUUCCAAAUUGGGUUUGGGAAUUCAUCUAUACAAGAAAAAACACAAGGUAAAAUCAGUAUGGAUGAUGUUGAAAAGGCAAUACUGAUUAGCUUUGAUGAAUCAGGUGCCAUAGAUUCAGAGUUAAAAUCACAAGCAGUGAACUUUUGUCAGCAAAUUAAAGAAACCCCAUCAGUAUGUCGCCUUUGUAUUGAGAAGUUGUGUUUUUGCAAGCUUGUUCAGGUUCAAUUUUGGUGUUUACAAACUUUACAUGAGGUUCUUAGGGUAAAAUAUGGGUCCAUGAACUUGGAAGAGAAGAAUUUUAUUAGAAAGUCAGUUUUUUCAAUGGCUUGUUUGGAAAGUAUCGAUGAUAAGAUCUGCACUAUAUGGGAAAGUCCUGCAUUUAUAAAGAAUAAGCUUGCUCAGGUUUUGGUUACUCUGAUUUACUUUGAGUACCCUUUGAUUUGGUCAUCAGUUUUUGUUGAUUUCCUGCCUCAUUUGAGUAAAGGGACUGUGGUGAUAGAUAUUUUUUCUCGGCUUUUGAAUGCAUUAGAUGAUGAGUUGGUUAGUAUGGAUUAUCCGCGGACACCUGAAGAGUUGGCAGUUGCAGGAAGGGUUAAGGAUGCAAUGAGGCAGCAGUGUGUGCCUCAGAUUGUCAGAGCAUGGUAUGACAUUGUGUCUACGUAUAGGAAUUCCGACCCUGAAAUUUGUACUACUGUUUUUGAUUGUAUGAGCAGGUAUAUUUCCUGGAUUGACAUUGGGUUGAUCGUGAAUGAUGCAUUUAUUCCUCUACUGUUUGAGUUGAUUUUGGUUGAUGGUAUCUCGGAACAACUUCGUGCUGCUGCUGCUGGAUGUGUUUUCGCAGUGGUUUCUAAGCGAAUGGAUGCAUAUGCAAAAUUAUCUCUUUUGAAGAGGCUUGAAAUGACUCGAGUUUUUGGUUUGAUAUCUGAUGAUAAUGAUUCUGAGUUGGUUUCGAGUGUAGCAGCCUUAGUUACAGGGUAUGCACUGGAGAUUUUAGAGUGUUCCAAGCGGGUCAACUCAGAAGAUGCUAAGGUGGUUUCCAUGGAGCUUUUAGAUGAAGUUUUGCCAACAGUUUUCUAUGUAAUGCAAAAUUGCGAGAUGGAUGCAGCAUUUAGUAUAGUUCAAUUUCUUUCAGGUUAUGUUGCCACCAUGAAAACCCUUUCUCCUUUGAAAGAGAAACAAAUGCUUCACAUAAGUCAGAUCCUGGAAGUGAUUCGUACACAGAUUCGUUAUGAUCCCAUGUAUCGCAAUAAUCUUGAUAUAUUGGAUAAGAUUGGGAUGGAAGAAGAAGAUAGGAUGGUGGAAUCUAGAAAGGAUUUAUUUGUGUUGCUUCGAAAUGUGGGUCGAGUAGCACCUGAAGUCACUCAGAUCUUUAUCAGAAAUUCAUUUGCUAGUGCUAUUGCAUCUUCGUCAGACAGGAAUGUGGAAGAGGUAGAAGCUGCCCUUUCCCUUUUGUAUGCACUUGGGGAGUCCAUGACUGAUGAGGCAAUGAGGGUGGGAACUGGGCUGUUGAGUGAACUGGUGACAAAUCUUUUAUCAACAAGGUUUCCUUGCCAUUCCAAUAGGCUAGUUGCCCUUAUUUACUUGGAGACAAUAACAAGGUAUAUGAAAUUUGUCCAGGAGAAUACACAAUAUAUUCCUUUGGUUUUGGCUGCCUUUCUUGAUGAAAGAGGCAUACACCAUCCAAACAUCUAUGUGAGUCGCAGGGCAAGCUAUCUGUUCAUGAGGGUUGUAAAAUUACUGAAAUCAAAGCUUGUGCCAUUCAUAGAGACAAUUUUGCAGGUAUCAUAUUAUCCGUCUCUCAUUGCGAUUUAGGUUACCAUAUUUAAUUGUUCUUCUAGUAUAUGUUUGUGAAUGUUUAUGUGCCACCUCCUUUCGAAAAUUGUCUACUGAAUUCUUUUGUUGAUGGUCAGAGCCUGCAAGAUAUAGUUGCUCGAUUUACAAGUAUGAAUUUAACAUCAAAGGAACCUGCAGGAUCUGAAGAUGGUGCUUACAUUUUUGAGGUAUUUAUCUCAUUCUUAUAUUUCUUCCCAGUUCCCACUUUUCGUGUUUUGGCAUGUUUACACAUGUAUUUCUUCUCUUAACGUGCACAUGGAUGGAUGUUCAUAAAUAUCCCUCCUUGUUUGCAAGUGAUGAGUUUUAUUUGUUGUCUUUGCUUUUCUUUUUCUGAGAGUUUUCACAGGCAAUUGGCCUUUUGAUUGGAAUGGAAGAUGUGCCGCUGGAAAAGCAAUCUGAUUAUCUCUCUUCAUUGCUCACUCCUCUUUGUCAACAGGUUUCAACUUGUAGUCUGAUAUAUUUUAUUGUUUUUGAGUCUUCUAUGUUUCAUGUGACCAAUUUAUGAGCAAAUUGAUGUUUGAUACAUAUGUCCUGCAGCAUUUUACUUAUAUGGUUUAUUUCACAGGUUGAGGCAAUGCUGAUGAAUGCAAAACGGUUGAAUCCAGAAGAUUCUCCACUAAAAAUUGCUAAUAUCCAGCAAAUAAUUGUGGCAAUUAAUGCUCUGAGCAAGGUUACUCUUCUAUCCUUUGACCAUCUAAUAUGCUCCUUGGUGAAAAGUUUUUCCCUAAAUAUUGUUGCCUUUCAUAAAAAAUCUUCAGUUGCCUAUUGUUUUAUUACCAUCCUAAGAUCUUCUAAUAUUAUGAUACUGGGUUAGAAAGUUUUCCCUUAAAAUUGUUGUGUUUCAUUUUAUAUCCAAUCCAUGAUGGUAUAACCAUUUACUAUAGCAUAUAGUUCAUACUUGUGAUGCAAAGAUCCUUAUUUUCCUAGUUGUUUUAAUUUGUUUGGGAAUUGGGAUGCUUCUGUUAGGAAAUAUAUGAAACUCUAGUUCUCUUUGAGAUUUUGUUUCUCAAAUCCCUCUUUGUUGGGCUACAUAGAAACAUGUCUCACAUGCUGUUAAAGCUUUAAGCUUUCUUUUAAUUGUUAAUACUUAAUUUGAGUCUUGAUCCUGCAUGGAGUUUAUCUUCAUAAGUUUAUUUCUAAUGCAGGGUUUCAGUGAGCGCCUUGUAACUGCAAGUCGCCCUGCAAUUGGUCACAUGUUUAAGCAGGUUAUUUUAAGAUGGAUGAUUUUAUUUGUACUUUAACUGCACCUCUUCUUGCGCUCACGGUUGAGAAAGUUCCAUCAUUAUCACCGCCUCCAGUAGUUCAUAUGGAUCUUUUUGUUUCUUUGUUUUAAAUUAAAUAUAUGGAUGUGCGAGAAGGAAACCAUGCCAUUGUUUUUUCUCUUUUUAUCUCUUAUUAUUUAUUAAAUUUGGCUUAAUCUCUUUGUGAUCCAGACAUUGGAUGUUCUUCUCCAAAUCCUUGUUGUAUUCCCAAAGGUAGAGCCUUUGCGGACGAAGGUAAGUGUUCAAUGCUGAAUAUUGGACAUAUUUGCUUAUUUGGUUUUGUUCUAACACAUUGCUCAAUGCUAAUCUUUUUGGUAUUUAGGUUUUAUCGUUCAUACACCGUAUGGUGGACACCUUAGGAGCAUCUGUGUUUCCUUACCUUCCAAAGGCAUUGGAGCAAUUACUUGCAGAAAGUGAGGUAGAAAACAGUUAAAAUUUAGCCUUCUUUAAUAUUCUGAGUUAGUAUUUAUACUGUCUUUGUAAAUUUUUAGUUCCACAAGUGGUGUUAAGAAAUUGACACAUAUUCCAUUUUUAAUUUUUUUUAUUUUUUAAAAUAUAUUCUAAGGGGCAUGUAUCACCCUUCUUACCCUGCUUGUCGAGUCUAAAAUCUCCAUUUUCAGUGUAUUUGAUAAUUUCUCAUGUUCUUUUCUCUCUUUUCUCUUUUCAAAACAAAAACAAGCAUGUAAUUAAAGAACAAUCCUCAAGUUAUUAUCUUUUAAUUAUUAAUCAAACAAAAUCUCAAAUGGGCGUUUGGCAUCUGCAUUAUUAGCUGCAUGGCUGGAUUUUCUUUUGUCAAAUAAUAUUGUUCCUGAUGCUGAGUUCAAGUUGUUAAUUAAUUAUUUAUUUAGUUAAACCAAUAUGAAAUGUGAUAUAAGUUGGAGUUACUUUUCAAAAGGAGUUUAGAUUGAUAUAUUUUAGUUGCAUAUAUAUUUGAUUCUGGAUUAUGUCCUUUUGUAGCCAAAAGAAAUGGUUGGUUUCCUCUUAUUGCUCAAUCAACUUAUAUGCAAAUUCAGCACCUUGGUCCAUGACAUAUUGGAAGAAGUAUUUCCUGCUAUUGCUGGUAGGGUAUUGAGUGCCAUCCAAAGUAUUGUUGAUUCUUCAGGACCUGAAGCCAAUACUGAGGUAGAUAAUCUUUAGUCGUGGGCAUUUAUGAACUUUCAUUAAUUUGUUGGGUCCUUGGCUCAAGUCUAACUUCUCUUCGUAGAGUGAAAUUAAGAUAUAUUCUUGUUUAGAGUUUUAUCUCUAGUAUUUUCUAUUGCAUUCAUUGUAUUGCCUUAUGAUUUGAUUUCAGCUCAUUUUCUCUCAUGAUAUUUCCCAGCAACUAUGUUGGUUGUCCGAACUUAGUUAAUAAGUUCUCUAUUCAAUUAGUAAAUUAGUCUUUUUCCUCCAGUUCAACUGUGAAACACUGCAUUAGCACCUCUUAUGAGAAUCUGCAAGCUUAUGCCACUAAUGCAAUUCUUCCUCUGUGUUCAUUGAAACUUCUUCUUGUUGUAGGAAAUUCGCGAAGUACAAGAACUUCAAAAGACAUUAUUUACUUUUCUUCAUGUGAUAACUACGCAUGAUCUGUCUUCUGUUUUCCUUUCCCCCAGAAGCCGGGACUUCUUGACUGCAAUUAUGCAGUUGCUUUUACAUACAUCUUGCCAUCAUAAAGAUAUUAUUACAAGAAAGGUGAGUUAAUAGCUUUGUUGUUUUAUUAAUUACCUAAAGGAUUGGACAUUUUAGAAUUCUAGUAUGUUCAGAAAUUGGAUCUAACUUUCUGUUUUUGCCUUCUAUGAGAUAGGCUUGUGUACAGAUAUUUAUUAGAUUAAUUAAAGACUGGUGUGCCAGGCCUUAUGGUGAAGAAAAGGUUUGUUUCCCUUUUUAAAUUUCAUGCUUAGCUUUGUUGUUUGGAUUUAAUUAUGUUUAUGGCUCUAAGGGGCUAAACAUUUUUAGGUACCUGGUUUCCAAAGUUUUAUGAUAGAGACCUUUGCGACAAACUGUUGUUUGCACAGUGUGCUUGACAAAUCCUUCGAGUUUGGUGAUGCAAAUACUGUAAGAAUAACUUUUUUCAUUCAUUUAUUUUAUCUCAGUUUUACAGUUGUUGAUAAUCAUGCAUGAUAUCGUUGUUAGACUUACAGUAAUAACCUUUAUUAAUUUAUUUUGUCUAUGUGCUGCAGAAGCUGGCAUUAUGUAUUAUAUUCUUGUAGAAUUGCUUACGCCCAAAGAAAAAGAAAGGGAAAUAACAAUUUAGUUAUGUUUUUUUUAACUAGCAAGAUAGUAAUUAUAUUGAUUCUUCUUUUCUAAAAAAGAUGGAUUCAUUGCCUGUGUAAGACGAUAUUCAUUACUUUGCAUAAGUUUUGUGCAUUGUUGUUAUCUCAAGGAGAUCUGAAUAAAUAUUUCAGAAAAGGAUUCCGGCAUGAUAGUUUAAAAUGGUCUAAGGGUUUUUCUUUAUUACAGAAAAAGCUUUUUACGCUGGUGCAUUGCAUCUUUGCAUCCACAUGUUUUCUCAGGUAGCCAUGAACUUAUCCCUUGAUUGAAUGUUUUAAUGUGCAUGUGACUUGAAAUAGUGAAAGCCGAGUCAGAGUUUGGUGUGCAGUGAACCAACAAUAGAAGAAACUUGUAUUUCCUGUUCUGUGGGCUGAAAAAUCCUUAUAUGACAUUGCCUGUGAAGACUGUUAUUUGCUUUGCUUGAUUGACAAUGUUGCUUUACAUGUACGGAUAUGCUGAUGAUUGAUGUUCAUUUCUUCGUCUUUGCUCUUGUUACUUCUACUCUGUUUUCAGCUUGUUUUAUUUGGAGAAAUUGUGUUGGCUCAGAAGGUGAUGUAUGAGAAGUUUGGGGACGAUUUUCUUGUUCAUCUUGUAUCGAAAGGAUUUCCAUCUGCACACUGCCCUCGAAAUCUGGCAGAGCAGUAUUGUCAAAAGUUGAAGGUACUAUUCUUUACAAUCUAUUUAUAUUGUAUUUCCAUUCAUAUUGUUUCCCUGGUUUAUUACUACUUACAGCUCCUACGUAUAUUCUUUGAUUUUUAAUCAGCUUAUCUUUUAUUUUAUGUUGUAUUUAAUUCAUUGUUGGAUGAUACAAUGAAACUGACAGUGACAACAGGUUGGAACCUGCACUAGAACAGCCUCAAACUGUGACCUAAACCGGGUUUCUGAUAACCUUUCCAUUCUGAAAAUUACUUUAAUCAGUUACUUUUCUCUUAACUGUGUUACCAACUAGGUUUGUACCUUAGAUAUUGGUAUGGCUACUAAGAUCUAUAAAAUCAUAAAAGUAAACGUUGAAUGUUAACUCUAAUCCAAGAUCUCGAAGAUGGAAACACUUGCCACUUAAGUCAUCUAGGACAAAGUUACACUUAUUGUACUAAUUAAAAUCUAAACUUGCAUUCAUGAGACGUAGGUUGCUGUGUUUUGAGCUUGCUUUUCUGGCCCUAGGCUUGAUUAUCCCUAAUUGUUGGCACUUAAAGAAUACCUAGUUGGUAUUAUAAGCUUAAAUUCCACAAAUAUUGCUGCUGCUGCUGCUCUUAAGUUUUCUCUAUGCUUUGAUGGUUUUGAAUUGCAGGGUAGUGACAUCAAGGCGUUGAGAUCAUUUUACCAGAAACUUAUUGAAGACUUGCGUCUCCAACAGAAUGGAAGCCUUGUAUUCAGAUAGCAGCAUUAAGAUGGGAAAACGAUUAUUUGUCUUUGAUACUCUAAUACUUUUUCAGUUUUGUGUCGAACCCCUUUUUUUUCAUCCAAGGUUCCUCCUAACAUCCUGCAAUUGUGUCGUUUUCCUCUUUCAGAUAAAUUCUCUCACAUUUGCUUAUAUUAAGUUAAAUAUUGCAGGUUUCUUCAUGUAAAUAUCAUUUGUGUGCCCUAUUCCACAGACAAGGAGGUAUAUUUGAACCCCAGUCCUGGUUAAGUUGUUGAGAUUAUAGCUCUGUUUUGUGUUGGCAAUAAGUGGCUGAUAUAUUCCAUUUUCUUAUGGAUUCUACAGUUGUAUAUUUUCGGAAGCAAGCUUUCUUUGAAAUCAUGAAGUUUGGUUAAAUUCCUUCAGCUUCAACAUGCUGAGUAAGAUUAAAGUUUUUGUGAGAUCUGUUCAUAGUUUCUAUUUUUUAAUACAAUUUUCUUGGUUCAUUUUAUAUUUUCAAUUGUGUAUGUGACUGGAUUAUUACCCAAAAAAAAAAAAGAAAAAAGAAAAAAGAAAAUGACCAUAAGCAUCAAGCCAUUUCUUUUAUUCAUUGCUACUAUGCAAUAUUUAUUUUCAAUAAUCAGUGAUUAAGUUCUAUUAUGAAAUGAUGGAAUUAAAUCUCUUAUUCUUCAACACUAAGGACUAUUAUUUAAUAUUAAUGGUGAAGUUUUUAAAUUUCAUGAUAGAAUUAAAUGGUUGUCAAAUGAUUUUUAAAUAAUUCAUUAAAUAAUAGAUUAUUUAGUUAAAAUUUUACUUAAAUAUUAUAUAUUUUAAUGGAACAUGUAUUUAUUUUUUAAUUUUGAUUGUGAAAUUUAAAAAUCUUAAUAGCAUAUAAAAUAAAGUUUGUGAUUUAUAAAAUUAUAAUGAAAAAGGAUAAUAUUAAUCGUGUACCGGUUGUUUCUCUUUGGAUUAAUUGCAUUUUAGUUUGGUUAUGAAUGUAUUAAUGUUUUUAGCUAUUUAUUCAUUUUAACUUUAUUUUCAUAUUAUUCAAUAUUCACUAUACUUUCUUAGAAAAAAAUAAUUAAACAAAAAAAAACUAAAAAUUAAAAUAUUAUUAAUAAUGUCCCUAAAUUAAAAUAUUACGAUAAAUCUACUUUCCUCUUCUUUUGUCACGUGUGAAAUGUCCUUAAAUUAAAAAUGUUGGUAUAUUGGAAAAAAAAAUUAUAAAAAAAAAUCGUUUUAAUGGGAAUUAGACCAGGAUACAGCAAUUGCUUUUCAAUGUUUAUUUUUCUAAGUAUUAUAAUACGAAUAGUUUAAAAGAAAUUCAUGGUAGAGAAUGGAUCAAAGUUCUUAUGCAUCAUUACAAAACUUAUUAAUAUAUUUAAAAUACUAAAAUAUUAAAAUUAAAAACAAUAACUGAGUCUGACCGUAUUAAAUGGAAUUCUAAUAUCAAAAAUAUUAAUUGAAUUUGAUCGACUGGCAUAUGAUACACGUUUAGAAAGCUGCCUGUCUUAUUGAUCCGAGUCCAAGAAUUUGUGGCUUAAAAGCGUUAGGCAAAACAAGGCGACUGGUACAGCCCAUCAGCGUGAAUGACUCGUUGUGACAUUGAUAAAUACUCCGUCAACCAAUAAUUUUUUAAUUUCAUUGCAAAUUUUUGGUUGUCUCCAAUUUCUGUCUACUACUCUAUCCUUGAGAUGACAACGGGAGAUGGAUGAAAAUCCAUCUCUAUUUGGAUUUUUGCUCAUCUCGAUUUUGAUUCCAUUUUAAAAAUAUUUUAUUUGAUUUUAAUUUGAUAUCGAAUUAUUAUUUUUUAUAAUUAAUUUUGAUUCAAUAUAUAUAUAAAUAUAUAUAAUUCGUAUUUAAUUUAAUUAUAUUAUUUAUAAAAUAUUAAAUAAUUUUAUAUUUAUAUAUAUAUAUAUAUAUUUAUAUAUCACGGCAGGCUAGGGUACAAUACCUCAAAACACGCCCGACCUAACCUCAACAUUUUAAAAAUAUCUGACUUGUUUUCGAUCAUAUCUCUAAUUUUUUUUUAAAAAUAUGACCUUAUCAUACCGAAAGGUUGGAAUCCAUUUACGACUUGCUUAAUUACCUUUUUUUUUUUUUUUGGACCACAUAUAAAAUAGAAUGUCUUUUUUUUUUUUUUUUUUUCAAUUUUGGCUCUCCUCUAUUCCUCAAGUAUGCAUUUGUUUUUCUUUUUCUUGAAAUUAGCAAGGAUUAAAUAUUAAUUAUUGAAAUAAAAAUUUAAUAUUUUAUUAAUAAAUUAUACAUAUAUAUAUAAGUUGACCGAUAAAUAUUUUGACGCUUUGUAUUACCACUAAAAUAAAAUAUAUAUAUGUAUAAUUUAAUAUUUUAAGUUUGAAUUUUUAAAAAGAUGUAAUAGAUAAAGAAAAAAUUACUUCAAAUUAUAUCAGUAGUCCAAGAAUUUAUGUAGUAAAAUAUAAUGACCAUUAACGACUUGGUUGCGAAGAGUAAGAUUCAAAAGGGUUUUAUAAAAAAUUUAUUAACAUUAAAGGUUUAAUGAUUUAUUCAUUGACCAGACUAGAUUAUCUUGUGGAAAAUUCAGAGAAAAAAAGUACAAACUCCAAACAAUUAUAUCAAGAAUUGGAAAAUUUGCUUUGUUGGAUUGCAGUCAUUUUGAUGCUACUUUCAAAAUCUAUGAUGACGUUUAAAGUUGGGGCUAUUGUUAAUACCAAAGUCAUUAUUAGAAGUUAGGUUAGAAAUUAGAAUUAAUAAUUUGGAAUUUUCACUUUAAUUCUGUUAAGAAUAGCAAUAUUUACUUAUACAUUGUGCAACAAAUUAGGUCAAAGUAAUUAACAAUAUCAAUUAAAUUUUAAUUUUAAAAGUACCGAAUUUGAAUAUUAAUUUAAUAAUAAAUAUCUGUCUCGGACCAGACUUUUUUUUUUAAUUUAAAAGAAAAUUUUAAAGAUUCGUAAAAAAUAUAAAUUUAUGAGAAUCUAAAAAUUGUAUAUGGAACCAUACUUACCAUUUAAGAUUUUGAUGAAAAGGCAUGAAAAGUAGGAUUAGAUAAAAAGUAAAUGUACUUGUGUUGCUAAAGAGACCCAAAUGAGCAGUCAAUGGUCAUUUCAUCCUUAGUGUUAUCGUCUUCCCUUGUGGAAAAGUAAUUGGAUUGAAUUUAUAUACAUAUAGUUGUGCCAAUUCAUUUAACCAAAAAUUACCCAAAAAAAAAAAAAAAAAACAAAGAGUUGUAAGACUUCCCCUCAAUACAGAGGAAACUGUUGGUGAUGACCAUCUAGAUUUUGUAUUGUCAAGUCAUUCAUGAAUUGAAAUAUAUUAGCCGUACAUCGAUGACUUGUUGAAUGGUGGGGACUUUAAAAAAAAUCAUCUAUAACCUGACCAAUUAAAAAUCUAGAAGAAUUAUCAGCAAUUUGCAAAUCAAAAAAUGGAGAAAGCAGAAAUUGAAGGGGGGGUGGGGACCUGACCAUUGUGUUAUAGCCAGAAUUUUUGAAGUUGAUCGGCUUAAUUAUAGCCAAUAAAUGCAGUCUCAGCUCUUGAAAGCGAGGGAUUUGUCGUUAAUGUUCUUCAUGAUUUGUAUUGACAUAAGUAAUAUGUUAUACAAUUAUUGUAGUGACAGAUUUUUUGCAUAAAAAACUUAUGAAAUUAUUAAAAGACCAUUCAUUUAUAGAAGAAAAAGUUACUACUAAAAUAAGUUAUUAUAAAAAAAAAUAUAAUUUCAUAAAAAUUGAGUUACAUGCUCGAUGUUUGUGUCACAAAAACGAUUGAAUCUUAAGCACCUGUUACAAUACCUUAGUUUAUGCCCUCGUUAUGGAUUGCUAUUGUGUAAUAACCUCUUGUGAAGGUAACCGAUUCUCUUGUUAAUUCAAUAUUUAUAGCCAGCUAAUAAUCUCAUCAACCUUGGUUUAGAAAACGCUUGUAGUUAUUUACUUCGAGCAUGUGUUGGAUUUUGAGGGUUUUACGAUCAAUAUUACAAGGCGAUUGUUGACAGUUUCAUACAAAAUUUUGAGUGUUUAGGUAAUUGAUCAAGACACAUAUAUAUGUGUCUAGAUUUAGAAAUUACCUUGCUUAUGCUAUCAUGUUUGCUUAAAAAAUUAAUAUCGUCUGAUAAUUUUUAAAUUGCAGAAAACGAAAGUCUACCAUGAUUUUGAUAUAUCAAUUAAUAUAACCAAUAAUGUUGAUAUGCUUGUUACUAGUAUUCAAAACUCUGAAAAAACCUAAAGUUUUGAUAUUUUCUUUUCAGUUUGUUUUUCAAUUUCAAUUCUCUAAUAAUAUUUUAGUAGGGAUCAAGAAUAUAUAUAUAUAUAACUUUGGUUUGGUUGUAAGCAUGAAAACAAUGGUAAGAUGAGGCAAAUGAAAUAAACCAGGUCAAUUAGGUAACUGGUAAUCUGCUUGCAUAUUUCUAGCUUGUCAGUAACCUCGUAACAGUUGUGAAGGAAUGGAUAUUUUUGUUGCGAAAAUUUUAAGAGCCAAACACUCCACCAUCAAACUUUACGACCGCUUGAGAAUGGAUUUUUUUGGCUUAUUAGAAAAAGGCACCUUUCUUUUCCUGUUCAUCCCACACAUGACAAUUCAAAGACAUGAAAGUGGAGAUAAGAGCCAACAGCCACAUAGACAUAGUACUAGAUUUUAUAAUACGAACGACUACGAGAAGUGUUCUCUCAUCAUCAGCCGGUUCAGACAGUCCCCAAGAAACCAGCUAUGAAACUGCAUAGAAGCCCAAAUUUAUGCAUUUGAAUGAAAAAACAGAGCCAAUUACCUUACUUUCUUUUUUUUUUUUAAUUAAGAUGAACCAUCCGGAGGUUUUUUCUGCCGAUAAACCUGUUAGCAAGUCUUGAGACUGUCCCAAAGUCAAUCAGCGUUAUGGCCAGUCUUAGAGACUUCUGGUUUAAAAAAUUCAUUAUUUAAAUGCAAUUUCACUAUCCAUGAGCUAUAAAAUUUUUCUAUAAACAAGAAUUGGGAGAGAAGGAAAAGAAGGUGAUUGGUUAUAGUCAGGUCAUAGAUGUUUCUUUUUAAGUCUUUUAAUCCAAUCAGAUUUCAUUCUACUUCCUGUUUCCUUUCCUGCUCGCGGCUCGGCCUUACUUAUUUUUGGUUAUACUAGAACUAAGAAUACAGUAUUCUUACGGCAAUUGACUUGAUUGUUGGCAGCCUUAUUUAAACCCACCUUUGAGCUUAAACUGUGAGCCUAACGCAAAAGGUUCAAUAAAAUAUGGCCCUCAAAAAGUAUUUGUCAUGUAAAAAUAUCCUCCCCAACUGCUUCAAACCCAAGGAUCCAUCCUCAGGGCCUAAAGUUCAUGCUUCCAAACAAAGUCCUAGCCGAAGGCUAUCACUCUCUGAUAUUAGCCACCAUGGUUCUCCACUGUCACUAAGCGAUCUGUCAAAUUCUCUUAUAAGCGUUCAUAUUUUUACCCUCAAGGAGCUAGAAGUGAUAACGCACAAGUUUUCCAUGAGUAAUUAUCUUGGUGAGGGUGGGUUCGGACCUGUAUACAAGGGGUUCAUUGAUGACAAACUCAGGCCUGACCUGAAGGCUCAAGCUGUUGCUGUUAAGGUCCUUGAUUUGGAUGGCACUCAGGGGCACAGGGAAUGGCUGGUAAGCAUUUAUAUGUUAUCAUUUCAAUCCUGUUCCUGAUAAAGUUGAGUUGAAGAUAGUAAAAUGAUCGGUAAUUCUGAUUUUCCAUAGGCUGAAGUUAUUUUCCUGGGGCAAUUAAAGCACCCCCACCUGGUGAACUUAGUAGGAUAUUGCUACGAGGAGGAGCACAGGCUGCUGGUGUAUGAAUACAUGGCCCGUGGCAACUUAGAAGACCAACUGUUUAAAAGUUCGUUUUGCUCUUCCCUUUCAAUUUGAACAUUUGGGAAUAAUCUUAAUCUUCAACUCAUGACUAAAAAUUAUAUAAUUCUUGCCUUUAAUGCAGGAUAUGGUCCACCAUUGCCUUGGCUAACAAGGUUGAAAAUUGCGGUUGGAACAUCAAAAGGCCUAGCUUUCCUUCAUGAAGAAGAGAAGCCAGUCAUAUACAGGGAUUUCAAAACUUCAAACAUCUUAUUAGACUUGGUAAAAUAUCACUCGCUUAAUAAUAUUAAAAAAGGAAUAUUAACUGUCCAUCACUAUUCUUUUUAUUUGUAAUUGUCGUAUUUAAAUCUUGACUAUAGAAAUUAAGAUAAUAUUUUUCACAUAAGAUGGUAAAUAAGAUAGAAUAAUAAUUAGUCUGUAUUAUAUUUUAUUUGUAUUUAAAAAAAAUGAUAUGAUUAUAAAAAAGAUUAUCAUUAUUUUAAUAUAAGAUGAUUUAAUUUUUUUAAAGUGAAAAAAAUUAUUUUUAAUGUAUAUAAUUAAAUUUAUAUUUUUUAUUAUAUUUUUAAAAAUUAUAUCAAUAAUUUUAAUUAUAUAAAUUUUUAAAAAAAUAAUUUUAAUUAAAAUUUUUUUUAUUUUAAUCAUUACAUAUAUCAAAUAUAAAAUAAAAUAAUAUUAUUUAAUUUAAAUUUUAUUCAUAAUAUCAUCUUAUUUUAUUAUAAUUUUAUAUACCAAAUAUAUCUUAAAAUCUGAUAUUUUACCAACAGUCCAUACUGAUCGCGUCCAUGAUAUUUUCUUACAUCAGUAAAGGCGGAAGAGAAACUGAAAGGAAUUAUCAAUUAUGUUUAUUUUAUAUUGUCAGGCUUACAACGCAAAGGUCUCUGAUUUUGGGUUGGCGACAGACGGUCCAGAGGGAGAAGAAACUCAUGUUACUACUUGCGUCAUGGGCACGGAAGGCUACGCGGCUCCUGAAUACAUAACGACUGGUACUAGAAUUCUUAUCUCAGUUUUGCUGUUAUCAUUUUUAAUUUAAUAAUAUUUGACAUGGAUUAAUGCGAUUUGUGAUUUUCCAGGGCAUUUGACGACUAUGAGCGAUGUGUUCAGCUUCGGAGUAGUACUUUUAGAGCUGCUGACAGGCAGGCGAUCUGUGGACAAGAGCCGACCUGGUCGAGAGAAGAACCUUGUGCAAUGGGCACGGCCUCUUUUGAAGGAUCCUUACAAACUUGAUGGAAUAAUGGACCCAAGACUUGAAGGACAGUAUUCAACUGAGGGGGCUAGGAAGGCUGCUGCAUUAGCUUAUCAGUGUCUGAGCAGCCACCCCAAAUCUAGACCAACUAUGAGCAAUGUGGUCAAGGCCUUAGAGCCUCUCUUUGACUUAACUGACAUCCCAACUGGACCCUUUGUAUACAUAGUUCCAACUCAAGCCUAUAACGAGCCUAUCGUGCAGAAGAUUGAAGAAAAAGAGGAAAAGCAAUGUGACGAGAUAAAAAUUGAAAAAAACGGUGGAGAGAAGGAAGAAAAGAUGGAGAAAAGCCGAGUACCGCGCCAAAAAGGUCGAAGGCGUAGACGUCAGGUUAAGCCAUCAAGGUCUCGGGCUGUCUAUUCGGACACUGAUUUGUAUAAAACGCUGGGAUCUAGUUUGUACUCUCCCAAGCACCAAAGAUAAUUAAGGCAAACAAGCAUACUUGUAAUCAGACUGCACAUUGAGGUUUCCAUUUUGUUUGUUGUUGGACUUAUUGUGUUUUGCCAUAGGGUCCUGAUCCAAUUUUUCCAGUGUUUCCAUAGCUUAUCCUAUGAAAGAAAGGCAUGGCUGUUUCUGCUUUGAAAACACAUGCCUUCGGUUUGUUCUCAUCCCCUUUGCCAGAAACAUCGAUCAGCCUAUGCUGUGGGCCAAAGAUAAAGGCUUGACGACAGAUUAUUUACGAUUCAUGCAUGUUAAUGUACAAUGUUCUAAAAUUUUUCACAAUAACUUCACAGGGUUUCUAUGCUUUUUUUUCUAAAACCAAUUCUGACUUUCCCUGAAACUUCUUGAAAGCAAUUGACUGCAAUUCAUUUUUUUUAGUGAUCUUAGUAAUCAGUGCAAACUUACCUAAAACUCUUCUGGAUUGUACGUUAAAUGGUCAAUAUUCCAUAAUCAGAUUAACUGACAAAUCUAGCUUAUGGCAUGUUCAAAGUCUUGUUAGCAAACCGAAAGGUGGUGACCACUUCCACGAGUCUGAUGCAGAGUUUCAAAAGUUGAGUUACAAAUUCUUUCGUGCUAGACUACCGCACAAGACUUUGCAAUUCCACCACUCCCACCAACCCCAUCCUCACCGUCUAGCCAGAUUCAGCGCACAUGUUUUUAGCCUUUCCCCGUUUUGAACGUUCCAUCUCUGGUUCAGAAGCCAGCCAGAUUCAUUGGUACUGAUGGAUGGUCGGCUCAAAAGGCAAAAAGAGUAUGCUCUUUUCUUUGUUGCUUGGGCUCAAAUCCAUUAGGAAAAAAAAAAGAGCUAAACACGAUAUAGAUAAGUCUAUUUAAACCGGUCUGAAAAGAAAAUGUACUUAGUAAAACCUAAAAAUCUCUUGCCGCUUAAUAAAAAUAACUUUUCAUUGUUAAUAAUUCCUAGUAAAAUAAGAAAUUAUACGAGAAUUUCCUGGAUUCAAGUAGAAAAAUGAGGCAAGGAACAAGCAUUAGCAGCAUAACUCGCCGGUUGUUAUCCAUCAUUAGUGUGAAAUCAAUAAGAAGGCCAACCAGAUAAAAUCUAUAUAUAUAUAUAUAUAUAUAUAUAGAUUCAACCAAUAGAUGUUUAAGUAAUGUUCAUGUUGCACCAACUUGCAUAAAAGAGGCUUUGAUUGAUAAAUCUUAUAUGUGUGAAAUCAAUGCAUCAAUGUUCAAAACGUGCAAUGAAAUAGAAAUCCCUCAACUCAUUGAAUGCUAAAUAAAUUUGUUAAUGGUGUUGAAUUGGUAAAAACUGUUAAUGUUGUUGAAUUGGUAAAAACCAUUUGCUCACUUUCAACUCACAAACCACAACACCAGCCAUUCAGACUGCAAAAUUUAUGCUGGAGGCUUCAAUAAUUGCAGUAAUAUGCAUAUAGGUGGAAAAAAUUAUGAUUCGUUGUUCAAAACAGUUUAAAACUAAAACUGUUAUCAAAAGUCAAAGCCUUGUAUGUGUCACAUGUCAAAAUUUUCUUACAAACUUCUAUAAAGCAGGCGCAAUUCCAAGGUUGCUGACAUUCAUAUAACCGUAUUUCAGAAGGUAUUUUCUUGUUUUUGAAUAUUAAACAUAAUUUAUCCUCAAUAUAGUUGAAAAAUUUUUUUUUUCUCAAUUUUCUAAUUAGAUAACGAACAGGUGAAUGCUCUGAUUCACCAGACAAGUACUAGAUGGGCAUUGAAGCAGUUAAUUUAUAGACAGAUUACCAAGUAGAUUUUCAGAAAGAACUUCAUCCAUCAAUGUCCUAAACUCAUUCUUAAAUGAGUCGCAAAAAGGAAAUAUGAACUUUUUGCUAAACCCAAGGCAUAUGAAUCUCCAUAUUAAAACAGGCUUGCCAGCAUACUAAUGCUUGUGGCUCUGCAUACUGGAACUUCAGGAAACUAGUUAACAUUAACCUUGUCCCAAGAAAAUAACCAUGAACAGCUUAAAUUGUCUUAUGAGAUUCUAUUUGACUCAUGCAGAUUCUUGGCUAGGCUUACAUUUUUCAUUUCAAUUUUUGGUACCUAAAUUCUAUUAUUGAAUCAUCAGAUGUACAGAGGGAGCAAGUAUUGAGAAUGUCUCUUUUAGAAGAAGAAGACUCAAUCCCAUCAAAAACAGAAAAAGAGCUCAAUAACAGGAAUAAAAAAAAUCAAUCAUCCAAUCAAAUUGUAAUUCAAGUUACAGCCAGCAUGAAGUAAAAAGAAAAACUCUAGAUAUAGCUAGAGAAUUAAUCUCUUUCUCUCACCUUACUAUCUUGAAAAGAAAAAUACUAAUCAACGAUACCUUAAAGGGUUUAAUCUUGAACAUUUGCUGCACAAACCAAGACUUGCCUGGUCAUUUUUCCCUCCCUUUCAGUACACCAGUAUUAGGCCAAUCACUGGUGAUUGGAGCCUCUGGUCCUUUUAGAUGCAGUAUCAAGCCCACAUUACAAGCCCAUUCUACAAGGCUUUGACCUGCGGUUCAAAGAUUCAUUUUGAUCAUCAGUUUCACCCAAAAGCAAUAAUCUAUACAGCCAUAAGUGAAAUAAAGAUCUGAGGAUCCACUGACAAGAUAUUCUAUGUAACAUCUGAUCAGGUGCAUUUGAUUCUUUUCCUUUAAUUCUCCUAAAAUAUUGAGUAAGCUUCUAAAACUCAAAUAAGUUGGAAGCUAAAGCGCAGCAGCAUGCCUUCAAUAACACUACUUUUUCUUUAGUUUUUCCCUUGCUUUUUCUGGAUAAGUUGUUCCUUUACUUCCAUCCUAAUUUUGAACUUGGAUCCAGUCAGAAUGAUACUUGUCAUCAUACGGAACAACCUUCCCAUCAGGGAAUGGUUCUCCUGUAAAAAACCAUACGCAUGUCAACACAAAAAAUGAAAAAUUCAUAUGUGCUUAAGACAUUGUAGAAAUGACCACAUUGUUGCUUGACACUCACUUCUUAUGAGGGCAGAAAGAAUUGUUUGUGAAUGAUAUUUAAAUGAAAUGGAAGGAAAAACCGCAGGCAUAUUAACAGAACAAAUGAAAACUCAUAGUACUAAAUAAGAAAACUAUCCAACUGCAGAGAGAAUUUGCUGCAAUUGUUAUAAAGGGAGACAGAAUAGCUCGUGUAUAAUAGGUUUCAAUCUAUCAAGGUUCACAAGAUGAGUGAAUUCAAUGCCAUUCAGAUCUACCAAGUGCAAUGGAAGACAAAUUCUUCUCCCAACACCAUAGUGAGUUACUGAUAUUGAUUGCUGGGCAAUAGAGCUUAACACCUAAGAAGGGUGAGGAUUAGUGGAUUACAACAAAAUAGGAGCUUCAUUUUGCUACAUAAAGGCAUAACAUAAGCAUCAAUGAUUGACUUCCUGCACAUGAGCUACCUCACUUCGAUGUCUCGAGUAUUUCAAAUUCUUGUUUAAUGAACACGAGCAGCACCAAUAAGUUCUAUUGAUAUGAAGAACAGAACUGAGCAAUUUCAUUGCUGUUAGAGGACAAAGGCCAAAUGGAGUAAUCCAUGAAAGGAGUUCACAAGUAGUCAACUAAGGAUGCAUCAUCAGAAAUGCUUAAAUGCAUUCUCUCCGAUGCCUUUCCAUUUAUCUUUCAAACUAUUUUCAAUCAUCCUCAGAAGAAACAAAGUGAAAUUAUUAGUCUGUUAGCCAGCAGUCAAGCAGAAGUAUAUCGAAAAAAAAAGAAAUCUACUAUCUUGAUAAAUUGCAUGUAAUUCAAUAUCUUAAUAACAGAAUAAUUUGCAUAAUGAGAAGCGAGUAAGACAAUGAAAAGCAAAAACCUUACCCCCAUAGCCAUUAUCACCAUGGCCUAAAUAAGAAUCUGGUAAAACCCAUUUCACAUUAGGCAAAGCUGCAAGCAACGAACACAAUUCUGUGCAACUUUACAAUCUUGAAAAAAGAAUGAAUUUUGAAAGGAAAACACAUGAAUAAAAUUGAAAAAGCUUACAUUUAAUUUUAAGAGUCAAAGCUUCCGGGACUUUGCAACCAAAUGCAUAGUAGUACUUGGUGGAAACAGAGUAUAUAGAUUUCUUGGCUUCCUCAUCACUGCGUGUUAAUACCAAAAUUUAAACAAAAAAAAAACCCCAUUUUUGGACUGCAAAAAGAAAAAAAAAGGAAAAAGCAUGGAUUUUUACCUUCCCAAAGCCAUUGCUAAGGUCUUAAUGUAAAUGUUGACGAUCUCAUCUCCAAGUGGAUAUCCCUUGAGAGCCUCCAUUACCACGAACCAGUGUUCAUAGUCACAUCCCUCCACCGAACUGGGGUCCGAGUCAACUCGGUCCUUGCAAGAAGCACUGAGUUAUUAGAUCCCGAGUCGCCGGAGAAGUAAAUUGUGAUGAUAUUAGACGGAUAGGCUGAGAAACGGCGACGGGUUAGCUUUUGAACGACGCUUGACAACAUUUUUCUACGUUUGGGGGAUUUUUGUUAAUUGCUAAUGAUUUUCUAUUUUCCUUUCUUUUUAUUUCUCAUCUUAUAAAUUCAAUCAAAAUAAAAAUGUUAUAGUUCUCAUCUCACAUUUCUAAAUUCAUUUAAAUACAUAUUAUAAAAUUGUAUUAAUAAUAUUAUUAAAAAUUAAAUUCAAAAUUAAAUUUAAUUAAUUUAUAUUUACAUAAUAAUUUUAAAUAACAUCCAUAAAUUUAAAAUUUAAUGAUCACAAAAUUUUUUUAUCAAUUAUUAAAAUAAUAAAUUGGGUCAAGCUUUAAAAUCUAAGUUUAGACCCGAUCCCAAAAUUUAUUGGUCUAAAAUGUUUUGCCAAGCUUGGAGCAACAUAUAAAACAAAACACCCCUGAUUUUGAUUAUGAUGUCAAACAAAUAUAAUAAAAUAUAAAAAUUAUUUUUUGAAAAUUUUAAAGUAAACGUAGCUGAAUAUUAUUGAUAAUUUAUCUGUAAUUACUAAGGUAAAAAUGUAAUAAAAAAGACAACUGGAUUUGGAGAGGCUAAGUCAACUUGCAUUAAAUACACGCCUGCCAUUAUUAAAAAAAAAAAAAAAAAGAAGAAGCUGAUUUAUUUUACAAGACCAACGCCAGUUACCAUUAUUAUUAUUUUUUCUCGUACUACCUUAUAGUCUCAGUUGUUCUAAAGAGACUCUAUCACUGAGCGUACAUAUGAAGUGGGAGCCUAGGCUCUGCCACAACCUCAAGUGGGUACUUUCUAGGGGUGGAGAGCCCGAAGAUUUCCUCCAUGUUGAGAUCUUCUUUCGUCAUGUUACCAGGCAAUUUCCAAGUGAACCCAUGUAAAAGAUUAGCCAAACUUGCUUGAAUGACCUUAAUCCCG